rnacentral:rRNA from 1 species
CCUACGGGUGGCUGCAGUGGGGAAUAUUGGACAAUGGGCGAAAGCCUGAUCCAGCCAUGCCGCGUGUGUGAAGAAGGCCUUCGGGUUGUAAAGCACUUUCAGUGGGGAAGAAAGCCUUGGGGCUAAUACCCUCGAGGAAGGACAUCACCCACAGAAGAAGCACCGGCUAACUCCGUACCAGCAGCCGCGGUAAUACGGAGGGUGCGAGCGUUAAUCGGAAUUACUGGGCGUAAAGCGCGCGUAGGCGGUCUGAUAAGCCGGUUGUGAAAGCCCCGGGCUCAACCUGGGAACGGCAUCCGGAACUGUCAGGCUAGAGUGCAGGAGAGGAAGGUAGAAUUCCCGGUGUAGCGGUGAAAUGCGUAGAGAUCGGGAGGAAUACCAGUGGCGAAGGCGGCCUUCUGGACUGACACUGACGCUGAGGUGCGAAAGCGUGGGUAGCAAACAGGAUUAGAUACCCCUGUAGUC